AAAAGGAAACUUCUCCCUCCUGGAAGCUGGCGUUUGACCUUUGCAGGGCAGGGAGCUUCUUGCCGACAAGUGCAGAAUGCAAACAUUUUGGAUGCAUCACUCCAUCUGUUUUCCCAGAGCCCCAAAGCCGUGCCAAGGAGUGACCUCCAUCCUCCUGGCUGUCACUUUCCCCAUGGAGAGGGGCUCUGGGGAUGUCCCUGUGCCUGUACAUCGAGGGCUGCUCGGCAGCCAUGGGUUCCAGCAGAUCUGGGUGCUGGGGCAGCUGUUGCUCUGAGCGGUGCCGCCGCCGAGUUGGGUAACCAUGGCAACAGCAUCACCGCCAGCAUCCUCCUCCUCCUCACUCGGCUCUCCUCCUCCUCGGCAUCAUCAGGAGCAGCAGCAGCAGCAGCAGCAGCCCUGGCAGGAGCCAGAGCCCAGCAGCCGAGGCUGCAGCCAGCUGCUGCCAACCCCUACCCGCACCGGCACCCGCUCACAGCCCCGGCCCCGCUGCUCCCGGGGGGAAUAGGGCAGAGGGAGCUGAGAGGGCUGCACUGCAGAGGGAUCCCAGACAAGCCAGGUUUCCAGUCUGUUCUGACAUUUUGCAUGGCAAAACCACAUUUCCUGUGAUCUGCCAUCACGUUCCUCUGUGUGAUGCCCCACUCUGGACUCCAGGCUGCUUUUCUGGACUAGCAUAGGGGAAAAAUGGUGAGGCAAUCCCAGCAUUGCUUCACAUUAUGCAUACUAAAGGAUUUUGGUUCUAAGAUAUAAGCAGGGAAAAAAUGGCAUAUUUGGCGAAAAUGUAGCCUGUUCAGAAACAGCAUUUAAACUUGAAAGGUGCAAAGAUCCAUGAGCCAGCUUGGAUAGCAGAGGCACUAUAGCUUGCUUAGCCUGGUGCCCAGCUGCAGCAGGACUUCACUGGGAUGCACAGCUGUUGGGAAGGGUUCUUUAGCCCAAGCAGAGCAGCAUCUGUUCCUUGGCCCUGAGAGAGCUGGUUCAGAGACUGCUCAUGCACACCUCUGUAGUGGUUCAGAGAUGCAGUACUCUUUGUUUGGAAGAGUAAUUUAGCACUUUGUGUGGGUGCAUUUAUGGGAACACACAAAUUCUCUUAAAGAAAUAGGCGUGCUUCUGGUAUUUGCAGAGGUUAUGGGUGCACAUUAAGAGAUAAAAAACUAAAACAAAACAAAUUUAAUGGAGGAAAUUUCCAUUAUUCACCAGCAGUUCUUAUUUGUACCUUAAUAGCUUAUUCUGUGUGGGAAAAGAAGAGGAGUUGGAAGCUGAUUUCCAAAAAGAUGAAGCAUGUCUGGUACUUAGUAAAUCAACAAACUUGUGGAAAGAAUCAUGCCUGAAGGUCUAAUUCCUACACCUGCUAUUAGAGUGGCAAUAAGAGAGGCUGGGGAUGUGAGGGUAUAGAGCUAUUGGGAAUUGUCUCAAGGAAGGACAUGGAGAUGGUGGAGGGCCUGGAGGGGAAGCCACACAAGGAGUAGCUGAGGUCACUUAGCUUGUUCAGGCUGAAGAAGAGGAGGCUGAGGGGAGAGACCCCAUUGUAGACCACACCUCCUUCAUGAGGGGAAGAUGAGGGGCAGGCACUGAUCUCUGCUCUGUGGUGACCAGCAAUUAGGCUCAAGAG
ensembl:lncRNA